AGCAGCCGCGGUAAUUCCAGCUCCAAUAGCGUAUAUUAAAGUUGUUGCAGUUAAAAAGCUCGUAGUUGAAUUUCGGAGUUUAUCGGUUGGUCGGGCUUCAUUGUCCGCACUGGCCUGAUGGAUUCCUACCUUCUGAAUAACCAGCAUGCUAUUAAUUUAGUGCGUUGGGGAAGCAGAGCUAUUACCUUGAAAAAAUUAGAGUGCUUAAAGCAGGCUUAUGCUUGAAUAGAUUAGCAUGGAAUGAUAAAAUAGGACGGCUUGGUUCUAUUUUGUUGGUUUCUAGGAUCACCGUAAUGAUUAAUAGGGAUAGUUGGGGGCAUUAGUAUUCAAUUGUCAGAGGUGAAAUUCUUGGAUUUUAUUGAAGACUAACUUCUGCGAAAGCAUUUUGCCAAGGAUGUUUUCAUUAAUCAAGAACGAAAGUUAGGGAUCGAAGACGAUCAGAUACCGUCGUAGUCUUAACCAUAAACUAAUGCCGACUAGGGAUCGGACGAUUGUUAAUUUUUUAACUGUACUUACGUUC
rnacentral:rRNA from 1 species